rnacentral:lncRNA from 1 species
UUUGAUUCCAGCCAUGUACUGAAUGGCCUUCUUCCUCUCUAGCUCACAUUGAUCAACGAUGUGCUUCUUGAAAAAAAUAUAAAACACCUUUAGAGAUGCAUUAACAGAACUUUAGCUACAUAAAAAAUAACUUGAAGCUAUAUACCUUAGUGUGUUUCUGGUCCCAAUCUUGAAAAGUGGUUGAAGUGCAUGUACAAAUCUCCGUAAGCCUGCAUGAUCAACCAUGGAAAAGGGGGCAUUCAU